UGGGGAAUCUUGCGCAAUGGGCGAAAGCCUGACGCAGCGACGCCGCGUGAGGGAAGAAGGCCUUCGGGUUGUAAACCUCUUUCAGGAGGGACGAAGCUACUCGGGUUAAUAGCCCAGAGGGUGACGGUACCUCCAGAAGAAGCCCCGGCUAACUACGUGCCAGCAGCCGCGGUAAUACGUAGGGGGCAAGCGUUGUCCGGAAUCAUUGGGCGUAAAGCGCGUGUAGGCGGCCAAGAAAAGUCCGCUGUGAAAACUCGAGGCUCAACUUCGAGCUGUCGGUGGAAACUUUCUGGCUAGAGUCCGGAAGAGGAGAAUGGAAUUCCUGGUGUAGCGGUGAAAUGCGCAGAUAUCAGGAAGAACACCCGUGGCGAAGGCGGUUCUCUGGGACGGUACUGACGCUGAGACGCGAAAGCGUGGGGAGCGAACAGG
rnacentral:rRNA from 1 species